GCGUCAGGUGGUGCAACGGUUAGCAUAGCUGCCAAAAACCCAGUUGACCCGGGUUCACGACUCCCGGCCGACUAGCU